GGGUUUUUUUGGUAAAUAACACAAAGCUUCAUAACAUGGUAACCAACUUUUUACAUAAAAAAUCACUUAUUGUUUGUUAAUUCUGAACAGAUAAUUGUUUUUGAGCAAAUCCCCAAUUAUGCUAAUGAUAUGUGUACAAAUGUGUACAAACAUUAUUAAUUCAAUCAAGUAAUAUCUCAGAGUUGCAUACCCGCCAACUGUCACUAUUUGCGGGGGAUUUCCCCCAUGGAGGCUUCCAAAUGGAAAUUUUGUUAAAGCAAUUUUGUCCACUAUUUUAAAGAAAACAAUUAAUUUAACAAUGGCUAUGCUUGUUAUUAAAGCAUGAAGAAGCCAAAAACACAUUAGAAUAUAUUUGAAGGACCACUUGAAGGUUUUGUAGGACUAUAAAAAUCAUCUUUCACAUAAAACCCCCAUGGGUAUUUUGAAAAGUUGGCAGGUAUGGAGUUGGUAAAAUUGUAGUCGCAUUUAAUUAUUUUGAUACAGCUGAAGAAGAAAUCUCGCAAUUUUACCUGAACGAAAGUAAAACAUUUACUUUUAUUGGUUUUUUUUAGGAAGUGAAUUCUGUGUUGUUUUUUAUAAUUCAAAUGAGUAACUUGAUCAUAGUCAAAUGAUAUGAUAUGAAUUUGCUUAAGGUGGUACCUUAUUAUAAACACUACAAGCAGAUAACUCUGUAAAGUCAGCUAAACGUUUUAAUUAUGUUGUGUUGUAAUGGGAAUAUUAAGCUUCUCAAUGAUCAAAAUUAGUGUUUGUCAAACUGCUUUAUAACCAGCCUGAGUGUAAUUUUUCUGAGAAAAUGGUUGGUUCAAAAUUUUUAUAUUUUUGUUAAAGGGUCCAAGUAAAUACUUGGUCAAAAUUUUAUGAAAAUUAAACGAGCCAAAUUAAUUUUAGUGAAAGUGUUGGGUACCACCUUAAGUAAUUAAUUAAAAGAUCAGAUGUAUGUGCCUUACAAAUAAGGGAAAUGUUGUGGUAUUAUGCUUGUCAAUAAUCAAAAUGCCAGGGCUUAGAAUGUAUAAAGGUCAUUAUUUGCCCCCUGAGAUUUCAAAAUUAGUUAAGCACUGAAUGUUAAGAAAAUUUAUGAUUGUUUUAUUGCGUAUUGAAGAAGAUGAUACAUUAUGUUGAGAAUAGUCA
rnacentral:lncRNA from 1 species